rnacentral:rRNA from 1 species
AUGAACGCUAGCGGCAGGCUUAACACAUGCAAGUCGAGGGGCAGCGGAGCGGAGUGCUUGCACUCUGCUGCCGGCGACCGGCGCACGGGUGAGUAACACGUAUGCAACCUGCCCCGGAGCGGGGGAUAACCCGGCGAAAGCCGGACUAAUACCGCGUAUAUAUCCAGGAGGCAUCUUCUGGAUAGGAAAGGACUUCGGUCCGCUCCGGGAUGGGCAUGCGGCGCAUUAGGCAGACGGCGGGGUAACGGCCCACCGUACCGACGAUGCGUAGGGGUUCUGAGAGGAAGGCCCCCCACACUGGUACUGAGACACGGACCAGACUCCUACGGGAGGCAGCAGUGAGGAAUAUUGGUCAAUGGGCGAGAGCCUGAACCAGCCAAGCCGCGUGAGGGAAGAAGGCGCUCAGCGUCGUAAACCUCUUUAGCCGGGGGACAAAACCUCCUCGUGAAGGAGGCUUGAGAGUACCCGGAGAAUAAGCAUCGGCUAACUCCGUGCCAGCAGCCGCGGUAAUACGGAGGAUGCGAGCGUUAUCCGGAUUUAUUGGGUUUAAAGGGUGCGCAGGCGGACAUUCAAGUCUGCGGUCAAAUUCCGGGGCUCAACCCCGGCCAGCCGUGGAAACUGAAUGACUUGAGUGGGCGAGAGGUAUGCGGAAUGCGCGGUGUAGCGGUGAAAUGCUUAGAGAUCGCGCAGAACUCCGAUUGCGAAGGCAGCAUACCGGCGCCUUACUGACGCUCAGGCACGAAAGCGUGGGGAUCGAACAGGAUUAGAUACCCUGGUAGUCCACGCAGUAAACGAUGAAUGCUGGUUGUUCGGGCCGACUGAGGCCUGAGUAACGUAGUGAAAACGUUAAGCAUUCCACCUGGGGAGUACGCCGGCAACGGUGAAACUCAAAGGAAUUGACGGGGGCCCGCACAAGCGGAGGAACAUGUGGUUUAAUUCGAAGCAACGCGAAGAACCUUACCUGAUCUUGACAUCCCGAUGACCGCUUCGUAAUGGAAGCUUUUCUUCGGAACAUCGGUGACAGGUGGUGCAUGGUUGUCGUCAGCUCGUGCCGUGAGGUGUCGGCUUAAGUGCCAUAACGAGCGCAACCCCUGCGGACAGUUGCCAUCAGGUAGAGCUGGGCACUCUGUCCGGACUGCCGGCGCAAGCCGUGAGGAAGGCGGGGAUGACGUCAAAUCAGCACGGCCCUUACGUCCGGGGCGACACACGUGUUACAAUGGGCGGCACAGCGGGAAGCCAGGUGGUGACACCGAGCAGAACCCGAAAGCCGUUCUCAGUUCGGAUCGGAGUCUGCAACCCGACUCCGUGAAGCUGGAUUCGCUAGUAAUCGCGCAUCAGCCAUGGCGCGGUGAAUACGUUCCCGGGCCUUGUACACACCGCCCGUCAAGCCAUGGAAGCCGGGGGCGCUUGAAGUGCGUUGCCGCAAGGCGCGCCCUAGAGCGAAACCGGUGACUGGGGCU